UACAGAGGGUGCAAGCGUUAAUCGGAAUUACUGGGCGUAAAGGGUGCGUAGGUGGUUGUUUAAGUUAGAUGUGAAAGCCCCGGGCUUAACCUGGGAACUGCAUUUAAUACUGGGCGACUAGAGUAGAGUAGAGGAAGGCGGAAUUUCCGGUGUAGCGGUGAAAUGCGUAGAUAUCGGAAAGAACACCAGUGGCGAAGGCGGCCUUCUGGGCUCAUACUGACACUGAGGCACGAAAGCGUGGGGAGCAAAC
rnacentral:rRNA from 1 species